GAUGAACGCUGGCGGCGUGCCUAAUACAUGCAAGUCGAGCGAACAGACGAGUAGCUUGCUCCUCUGACGUUAGCGGCGGACGUGUGAGUAACACGUGGAUAACCUACCUAUAAGACUGGGAUAACUUCGGGAAACCGGAGCUAAUACCGGAUAAUAUAUUGAACCGCAUGGUUCAAUAGUGAAAGACGGUUUUGCUGUCACUUAUAGAUGGAUCCGCGCCGCAUUAGCUAGUUGGUAAGGUAACGGCUUACCAAGGCAACGAUGCGUAGCCGACCUGAGAGGGUGAUCGGCCACACUGGAACUGAGACACGGUCCAGACUCCUACGGGAGGCAGCAGUAGGGAAUCUUCCGCAAUGGGCGAAAGCCUGACGGAGCAACGCCGCGUGAGUGAUGAAGGUCUUCGGAUCGUAAAACUCUGUUAUUAGGGAAGAACAAAUGUGUAAGUAACUAUGCACGUAUUGACGGUACCUAAUCAGAAAGCCACGGCUAACUACGUG
rnacentral:rRNA from 1 species